AGGACGUGUGGUUGAUCAUUAUAGAAGCUCUUUAUCUUCUAAGAUGACAGAAGCACUAAUUUGUAGCCAAAAUUGGCUACAACCAGGGCUAUCAAUGUCUGAAUUUGUUGACAAGCUUCGGGAGUUUGAUAAUUUUGAUGAAACAGAACAUGUCCUUCAACUUGCUAAUUCUGCUACACCUGGAGCUGGAGGGGAGAAUUUAAUGGCUAUUGGUAAUUGAAGGGUCAUUUUAUAAACAUGACUAGUUAAGCUGGCAAGGUGUUCCAUCCUUUUUGGGAAAUUAUGGAGAUUGAUGCAAACUGUUCAAUUUUCUAGGCUCCAAUUACAAUAUUGAAUCUUGUUUUGAAUGGAUUAUUGAUGUUAUUCAAUUGGAUAUUUGUUAAGACUUAUUUUGGACUAUUUCUGAAUGAUUUUGGUGUGUUAAAAUGUAGAAUUAUGUAAUGUGAUUUUCAGAUAUGGAUGGAGUUGUUUUUU